UACGGGGGGGGCAAGCGUUGUUCGGAAUUACUGGGCGUAAAGGGGACGUAGGCGGCCAACUAAGUCCGACGUGAAAUCCCAAGGCUUAACCUUGGAACUGCGUCGGAUACUGGAUGGCUUGAAUUCGGGAGAGGGAUGCAGAAUUCCAGGUGUAGCGGUGAAAUGCGUAGAUAUCUGGAGGAACACCGGUGGCGAAGGCGGCAUCCUGGACCGAGAUUGACGCUGAGGCGCGAAAGCCAGGGGAGCAAACGGG
rnacentral:rRNA from 1 species